rnacentral:lncRNA from 1 species
GGCUGGAGGGUCCAGGUUGUCUUCACUCAGAUGUGUAGCAGUUGUUCCUGGAUGUCGGCUGAGACUCCUCAGUUUUCCAGAUGAUUUCUCAUUUUCUGUCUCUAAUGUGACCGCAUCAAAAGAGCUGGAGAUGUUAAAGAGAAUUGGAAUUAAGACAAAUUCAAUUCCAUGAAUAGAAGUUUCUAGGAAGUUUCCUGGUCCUGGGUAGAUCAAACCACACCAAUAAAUUCUGGAUGUUCGCAACGUGGGGCUGGAUUACUUCAGAGAUCAAUGGUUGUCAAAGUUCUUUCACAUAACUCUCCACUUCUAAUGAACUGGUGCGAUAGAGACAAUAAGAAUAUAUUUACAGAAGGGACCAUAAGAACAUCCUGAGAAGAACUCAAGAUAGAAAAAGAGAAUCAAGACCAUUACAUAUAAGGUUAGUUCAAAGAUGUCUAAUUUAAAAUAAUAUACAGCUAAAAGUCUGCAUACAAGGGAAUAUUGUGUGUGUGUAUGUGUGUGUGUGUGUUAGUCACUCAGUUGUGUCCCACUCUUUGAAACCCCAUGGACUGCAGCAUACCAGGCUUCCUUAUCCUUCACUAUCG